GAUGUAGCUCAGGGGUAGAGCACCUGCUUUGCAUGCAGAAGGUACCAGGUUCAACCUCCAACAUCACCUGGUAGAGCUG